rnacentral:rRNA from 1 species
UACGUAGGGGCCUAGCGUUGUCCGGAUUUACUGGGCGUAAAGGGAGCGUAGGCGGUUUUUUAAGUGGGAUGUGAAAUCCCUGGGCUUAACCCAGGAAUUGCAUUCCAUACUGGGAAACUAGAGUGCAGGAGAGGAAAGUGGAAUUCCAAGUGUAGCGGUGAAAUGCGUAGAGAUGCGGAGGAACACCGGUGGCGAAGGCGGGUCUCUGGGCCGAUACUGACGCUGAGGAGCGAAAGCGUGGGGAGCGAACAGG